rnacentral:lncRNA from 1 species
UGUCUCUUUGAACCAGGUGUGCCCUCCUUUCAGACUGUGCCAAAAGCUUCACAGGUUGAUUUACAUGGAUGUUCCUGUGAUAUCAUGACCUGCUCCAUCAGGCUUCUUUUGGAUUGACUGUUAUUUGGGCUGGGCCUGAUACAUCUUAAGCAUCUAAAGGAAGACAUCACCUUUUAUGCUCUGAAUAGUUGAAUGUGAAAUGACCACUCAAACAUAAAGAGAAGUGCUGCAACUAAAUGCCCAAGAGAUUCUUCAGGCCCUACGGGCCAAGCUGAACCAGCAGCUUCUGGCCCCUAUGAGACAAGGCUCCUAACUACCAUCUCAUGAAUGCUGCAAAACCACGGCCCUGCUCAAGGACGAUGUUGCUCCCAUGCAGGACUAAGUACAAAACAGUAAGUCAUAUAUUCCCUGCCACUUGGGAUUUAUGGAGUCACUGAACAACGUGUGACACUGACAUAAUUCUAAGUAUUUCUCUGAUGCUUGCCAAAUUAUUGAUGCCUGUCAACUCAGUGUUUAUUUGAAAGAAGAAUUUUGACAUCACAGAUUUAAACUCAAAAUCAGAUUAGGUUCGAAAACUGUGUCAACAAAACGUAAGUAGUAAAAAAACCAAAACACAAGUCAAACGUAAUUGCUUUAAGGGUGUCCAGGACCACAGCCUGAACAAGGACUGCAUAAGAUAGAACAAUUUAGGAUUUAAAGGAAAGAAGUAUUUACUGGAUGGUUUGCACUGCUCUGAAAAACUGAUUUCUACACGUUUCUG